UGGGCGGCGGUAGGGGGUAGUACUGACGAACGGACGGACGCGUGGUUUGCCGCGGAUUGGAGGCGGUGGUCUUAAGCCUUCACCCGCGGGCACAGUGUAUGAAAUCUAACGUUUGGUUUAUGACGUCACACGGUAGUGGUGGACGACAAAGGCGCGUCCUUCCUACCCCCUAAAAACCAUACCUCACCGUUGCCGUCGAUGUCGUUGAAAAACAACCACCGCCACCACCUUAGUAUAUUGUAGCGCGUUACAUUACCCGUAUACGGUCAUAAUAUCGACACGUGGUUGUUCGUCUCGACUGCGCCGUGGUAUCGGUAUAUCACGCUGGUUAG